GCAGUCGUGGCUGAGCGGUUAAGGCGAUGGACUAGAAAUCCAUUGGGAUCCUUUCUGCUUGGAGUAUCUGCA
rnacentral:tRNA from 1 species